GUUGAAUAAGGCAAUAUACCGUAGACAGUAGGUGCGUAAGCAUAACGAAUUUCAACCUACCGAGGGUUCCAAUAUAUGACUAUAUUUGGUUUCUCCGCGUCUACGGGAGAAACCUUUAAUUUUAUAUAA
rfam:Clostridium sp. HMP27 Clostridium-HMP27_contig_51, whole genome shotgun sequence.